GCAGUCGAGCGGACAGAUGGGAGCUUGCUCCCUGAUGUUAGCGGCGGACGGGUGAGUAACACGUGGGUAACCUGCCUGUAAGACUGGGAUAACUCCGGGAAACCGGGGCUAAUACCGGAUGGUUGUUUGAACCGCAUGGUUCAGACAUAAAAGGUGGCUUCGGCUACCACUUACAGAUGGACCCGCGGCGCAUUAGCUAGUUGGUGAGGUAACGGCUCACCAAGGCGACGAUGCGUAGCCGACCUGAGAGGGUGAUCGGCCACACUGGGACUGAGACACGGCCCAGACUCCUACGGGAGGCAGCAGUAGGGAAUCUUCCGCAAUGGACGAAAGUCUGACGGAGCAACGCCGCGUGAGUGAUGAAGGUUUUCGGAUCGUAAAGCUCUGUUGUUAGGGAAGAACAAGUGCCGUUCAAAUAGGGCGGCACCUUGACGGUACCUAACCAGAAAGCCACGGCUAACUACGUGCCAGCAGCCGCGGUAAUACGUAGGUGGCAAGCGUUGUCCGGAAUUAUUGGGCGUAAAGGGCUCGCAGGCGGUUUCUUAAGUCUGAUGUGAAAGCCCCCGGCUCAACCGGGGAGGGUCAUUGGAAACUGGGGAACUUGAGUGCAGAAGAGGAGAGUGGAAUUCCACGUGUAGCGGUGAAAUGCGUAGAGAUGUGGAGGAACACCAGUGGCGAAGGCGACUCUCUGGUCUGUAACUGACGCUGAGGAGCGAAAGCGUGGGGAGCGAACAGGAUUAGAUACCCUGGUAGUCCACGCCGUAAACGAUGAGUGCU
rnacentral:rRNA from 1 species